rnacentral:rRNA from 1 species
UACGGAGGAUGCAAGCGUUAUCCGGAAUGAUUGGGCGUAAAGCGUCCGCAGGUGGCUGUGUAAGUCUGCUGUUAAAUAGUGAGGCUCAACCUCAUAAAGGCAGUGGAAACUACACGGCUAGAGUGCGUUCGGGGCAGAGGGAAUUCCUGGUGUAGCGGUGAAAUGCGUAGAGAUCAGGAAGAACACCGGUGGCGAAGGCGCUCUGCUAGGCCGCAACUGACACUGAGGGACGAAAGCUAGGGGAGCGAAUGGG